rnacentral:rRNA from 1 species
CAAAGAUUUAUCGGUAAAGGAUGGGGAUGCGUCCGAUUAGCUUGUUGGCGGGGUAACGGCCCACCAAGGCAUCGAUCGGUAGGGGUUCUGAGAGGAAGGUCCCCCACACUGGAACUGAGACACGGUCCAGACUCCUACGGGAGGCAGCAGUGAGGAAUAUUGGUCAAUGGCCGUAAAGCUGAACCAGCCAAGUAGCGUGAGGGAAGACUGCCCUAUGGGUUGUAAACCUCUUUUAUGCGGGGAUAAAGGUGUCCACGUGUGGAUGUUUGCAGGUACCGCAUGAAUAAGGACCGGCUAAUUCCGUGCCAGCAGCCGCGGUAAUACGGAAGGUCCGGGCGUUAUCCGGAUUUAUUGGGUUUAAAGGGAGCGUAGGCCGGUCUUUAAGCGUGCCGUGAAAUUUUGUGGCUCAACCAUGAGAGUGCGGCGCGAACUGGAGACCUUGAGUGCGCGGAAGGCAGGCGGAAUUCGUGGUGUAGCGGUGAAAUGCUUAGAUAUCACGAAGAACCCCGAUUGCGAAGGCAGCCUGCCGCAGCGUUACUGACGCUGAAGCUCGAAAGCGCGGGUAUCGAACAGGAUUAGAUACCCUGGUAGUCCGCGCGGUAAACGAUGGAUGCCCGCUGUCGGCGAUAUACAGUCG